AACGCACCUUGCGCUCCUUGGUAUUCCGAGGAGCAUGCCUGUUUGAGUGUCAUUAAAUUCUCAAUCUCUACGACUUUGUGUUGUCUAGAUUGGAAGUGGGGGUACCUUUGUGUGGAAUCCAAUUCCUCACUCCCCUUAAAAGCAUUAGCUGGAAUGCCUCUGCAUAUCUGACUAUCAGUGUGAUAAUUAUCUAUGCUGUAGUUGUUGCAUGAGGGUAUCCGCUUCAUAAAUCGUCGCAAGACAAUUCUUUAUGACCAUCUUGACCUCAAAUCAGGUAGGACUACCCGCUGAACUUAA
rnacentral:misc_RNA from 1 species